GACGAACGCUGGCGGCGUGCUUAACACAUGCAAGUCGAACGGUAAGGCCCUUUCGGGGGUACACGAGUGGCGAACGGGUGAGUAACACGUGGGUAAUCUGCCCUGCACUUCGGGAUAAGCCUGGGAAACUGGGUCUAAUACCGGAUAUGACUUCUGGCCGCAUGGUCUGGGAGUGGAAAGUUUUUCGGUGCAGGAUGAGUCCGCGGCCUAUCAGCUUGUUGGUGGGGUAAUGGCCUACCAAGGCGACGACGGGUAGCCGGCCUGAGAGGGUGAUCGGCCACACUGGGACUGAGACACGGCCCAGACUCCUACGGGAGGCAGCAGUGGGGAAUAUUGCACAAUGGGCGGAAGCCUGAUGCAGCGACGCCGCGUGGGGGAUGACGGUCUUCGGAUUGUAAACCCCUUUCAGUAGGGACGAAGCGCAAGUGACGGUACCUGCAGAAGAAGCACCGGCUAACUACGUGCCAGCAGCCGCGGUAAUACGUAGGGUGCGAGCGUUGUCCGGAAUUACUGGGCGUAAAGAGCUCGUAGGCGGUUUGUCACGUCGUCUGUGAAAUCCCUCGGCUUAACCGGGGGCGUGCAGGCGAUACGGGCAGACUUGAGUACUACAGGGGAGACUGGAAUUCCUGGUGUAGCGGUGAAAUGCGCAGAUAUCAGGAGGAACACCGGUGGCGAAGGCGGGUCUCUGGGUAGUAACUGACGCUGAGGAGCGAAAGCAUGGGUAGCGAACAGG
rnacentral:rRNA from 1 species